rnacentral:rRNA from 1 species
CACGUAGGAGGCGAGCGUUGUCCGGAAUCAUUGGGCGUAAAGAGCGCGCAGGCGGCCCGGCAAGUCGGGUGUGAAAUCCCGGGGCUCAACCCCGGGACUGCAUUCGAUACUGUCGGGCUAGAGGUAGGUAGGGGAGAUCGGAAUCCCUGGUGUAGCGGUGAAAUGCGCAGAUAUCAGGAGGAACACCGGUGGCGAAGGCGGAUCUCUGGGCCUUACCUGACGCUCAGGCGCGAAAGCUAGGGGAGCGAACAGG